rnacentral:rRNA from 1 species
AUGCAGUCGACGGUGGAGCCAGCUUGCUUGGUGGAUCAGUGGCGAACGGGUGAGUAACACGUGAGCAACCUGCCCUGGACUCUGGGAUAAGCGCUGGAAACGGCGUCUAAUACUGGAUAUGAGCUCUCAUCGCAUGGUGGGGGUUGGAAAGAUUUUUCGGUCUGGGAUGGGCUCGCGGCCUAUCAGCUUGUUGGUGAGGUAAUGGCUCACCAAGGCGUCGACGGGUAGCCGGCCUGAGAGGGUGACCGGCCACACUGGGACUGAGACACGGCCCAGACUCCUACGGGAGGCAGCAGUGGGGAAUAUUGCACAAUGGGCGGAAGCCUGAUGCAGCAACGCCGCGUGAGGGAUGACGGCCUUCGGGUUGUAAACCUCUUUUAGCAGGGAAGAAGCGAGAGUGACGGUACCUGCAGAAAAAGCGCCGGCUAACUACGUGCCAGCAGCCGCGGUAAUACGUAGGGCGCAAGCGUUAUCCGGAAUUAUUGGGCGUAAAGAGCUCGUAGGCGGUUUGUCGCGUCUGCUGUGAAAUCCCGAGGCUCAACCUCGGGCCUGCAGUGGGUACGGGCAGACUAGAGUGCGGUAGGGGAGAUUGGAAUUCCUGGUGUAGCGGUGGAAUGCGCAGAUAUCAGGAGGAACACCGAUGGCGAAGGCAGAUCUCUGGGCCGUAACUGACGCUGAGGAGCGAAAGGGUGGGGAGCAAACAGGCUUAGAUACCCUGGUAGUCCACCCCGUAAACGUUGGGAACUAGUUGUGGGGACCAUUCCACGGUUUCCGUGACGCAGCUAACGCAUUAAGUUCCCCGCCUGGGGAGUACGGCCGCAAGGCUAAAACUCAAAGGAAUUGACGGGGACCCGCACAAGCGGCGGAGCAUGCGGAUUAAUUCGAUGCAACGCGAAGAACCUUACCAAGGCUUGACAUACACCAGAACACCGUAGAAAUACGGGACUCUUUGGACACUGGUGAACAGGUGGUGCAUGGUUGUCGUCAGCUCGUGUCGUGAGAUGUUGGGUUAAGUCCCGCAACGAGCGCAACCCUCGUUCUAUGUUGCCAGCACGUAAUGGUGGGAACUCAUGGGAUACUGCCGGGGUCAACUCGGAGGAAGGUGGGGAUGACGUCAAAUCAUCAUGCCCCUUAUGUCUUGGGCUUCACGCAUGCUACAAUGGCCGGUACAAAGGGCUGCAAUACCGUGAGGUGGAGCGAAUCCCAAAAAGCCGGUCCCAGUUCGGAUUGAGGUCUGCAACUCGACCUCAUGAAGUCGGAGUCGCUAGUAAUCGCAGAUCAGCAACGCUGCGGUGAAUACGUUCCCGGGUCUUGUACACACCGCCCGUCAAGUCAUGAAAGUCGGUAACACCUGAAGCCGGGGCCCAACCCUGUGGAGGGA